rnacentral:rRNA from 1 species
GGUUAAGCGACUAAGCGUACACGGUGGAUGCCCUGGCAGUCAGAGGCGAUGAAGGGCGUGCUAAUCUGCGAUAAGCGCCGGUAAGGUGAUAUGAACCGUUAUAACCGGCGAUACCCGAAUGGGGAAACCCAGUGUGAUUCGUCACACUAUCAUUAACUGAAUCCAUAGGUUAAUGAGGCGAACCGGGGGAACUGAAACAUCUAAGUACCCCGAGGAAAAGAAAUCAACCGAGAUUCCCCCAGUAGCGGCGAGCGAACGGGGAGGAGCCCAGAGCCUGAAUCAGCAUGUGUGUUAGUGGAAGCGUCUGGAAAGGCGCGCGAUACAGGGUGACAGCCCCGUACACAAAAGCGCAUGUGCUGUGAGCUCGAUGAGUAGGGCGGGACACGUGGUAUCCUGUCUGAAUAUGGGGGGACCAUCCUCCAAGGCUAAAUACUCCUGACUGACCGAUAGUGAACCAGUACCGUGAGGGAAAGGCGAAAAGAACCCCGGCGAGGGGAGUGAAAAAGAACCUGAAACCGUGUACGUACAAGCAGUGGGAGCACAGGUUUACCUGUGUGACUGCGUACCUUUUGUAUAAUGGGUCAGCGACUUAUAUUCUGUAGCAAGGUUAACCGUAUAGGGGAGCCGUAGGGAAACCGAGUCUUAACCGGGCGUUAAGUUGCAGGGUAUAGACCCGAAACCCGGUGAUCUAGCCAUGGGCAGGUUGAAGGUUGGGUAACACUAACUGGAGGACCGAACCGACUAAUGUUGAAAAAUUAGCGGAUGACCUGUGGCUGGGGGUGAAAGGCCAAUCAAACCGGGAGAUAGCUGGUUCUCCCCGAAAGCUAUUUAGGUAGCGCCUCGUGAAUUCAUCUCCGGGGGUAGAGCACUGUUUCGGCUAGGGGGCCAUCCCGGCUUACCAACCCGAUGCAAACUGCGAAUACCGGAGAAUGUUAUCACGGGAGACACACGGCGGGUGCUAACGUCCGUCGUGAAGAGGGAAACAACCCAGACCGCCAGCUAAGGUCCCAAAGUCAUGGUUAAGUGGGAAACGAUGUGGGAAGGCCCAGACAGCCAGGAUGUUGGCUUAGAAGCAGCCAUCAUUUAAAGAAAGCGUAAUAGCUCACUGGUCGAGUCGGCCUGCGCGGAAGAUGUAACGGGGCUAAACCAUGCACCGAAGCUGCGGCAGCGACACUAUGUGUUGUUGGGUAGGGGAGCGUUCUGUAAGCCUGUGAAGGUGUGUCGUGAGGCAUGCUGGAGGUAUCAGAAGUGCGAAUGCUGACAUAAGUAACGAUAAAGCGGGUGAAAAGCCCGCUCGCCGGAAGACCAAGGGUUCCUGUCCAACGUUAAUCGGGGCAGGGUGAGUCGACCCCUAAGGCGAGGCCGAAAGGCGUAGUCGAUGGGAAACGGGUUAAUAUUCCCGUACUUGGUGUUACUGCGAAGGGGGGACGGAGAAGGCUAUGUUGGCCGGGCGACGGUUGUCCCGGUUUAAGCGUGUAGGUGUGUGUUCCAGGUAAAUCCGGUUCACUUUAACACUGAGGCGUGAUGACGAGGCACUACGGUGCUGAAGCAACAAAUGCCCUGCUUCCAGGAAAAGCCUCUAAGCAUCAGGUAACAUCAAAUCGUACCCCAAACCGACACAGGUGGUCAGGUAGAGAAUACCAAGGCGCUUGAGAGAACUCGGGUGAAGGAACUAGGCAAAAUGGUGCCGUAACUUCGGGAGAAGGCACGCUGACACGUAGGUGAAGUGAUUUACUCAUGGAGCUGAAGUCAGUCGAAGAUACCAGCUGGCUGCAACUGUUUAUUAAAAACACAGCACUGUGCAAACACGAAAGUGGACGUAUACGGUGUGACGCCUGCCCGGUGCCGGAAGGUUAAUUGAUGGGGUCAGCGCAAGCGAAGCUCCUGAUCGAAGCCCCGGUAAACGGCGGCCGUAACUAUAACGGUCCUAAGGUAGCGAAAUUCCUUGUCGGGUAAGUUCCGACCUGCACGAAUGGCGUAAUGAUGGCCAGGCUGUCUCCACCCGAGACUCAGUGAAAUUGAACUCGCUGUGAAGAUGCAGUGUACCCGCGGCAAGACGGAAAGACCCCGUGAACCUUUACUAUAGCUUGACACUGAACAUUGAGCCUUGAUGUGUAGGAUAGGUGGGAGGCUUUGAAGCGUGGACGCCAGUCUGCGUGGAGCCGACCUUGAAAUACCACCCUUUAAUGUUUGAUGUUCUAACGUGGACCCGUAAUCCGGGUUGCGGACAGUGUCUGGUGGGUAGUUUGACUGGGGCGGUCUCCUCCUAAAGAGUAACGGAGGAGCACGAAGGUUGGCUAAUCCUGGUCGGACAUCAGGAGGUUAGUGCAAUGGCAUAAGCCAGCUUGACUGCGAGCGUGACGGCGCGAGCAGGUGCGAAAGCAGGUCAUAGUGAUCCGGUGGUUCUGAAUGGAAGGGCCAUCGCUCAACGGAUAAAAGGUACUCCGGGGAUAACAGGCUGAUACCGCCCAAGAGUUCAUAUCGACGGCGGUGUUUGGCACCUCGAUGUCGGCUCAUCACAUCCUGGGGCUGAAGUAGGUCCCAAGGGUAUGGCUGUUCGCCAUUUAAAGUGGUACGCGAGCUGGGUUUAGAACGUCGUGAGACAGUUCGGUCCCUAUCUGCCGUGGGCGCUGGAGAACUGAGGGGGGCUGCUCCUAGUACGAGAGGACCGGAGUGGACGCAUCACUGGUGUUCGGGUUGUCAUGCCAAUGGCACUGCCCGGUAGCUAAAUGCGGAAGAGAUAAGUGCUGAAAGCAUCUAAGCACGAAACUUGCCCCGAGAUGAGUUCUCCCUGAGACUUAGAGUCUCCUGAAGGAACGUUGAAGACGACGACGUUGAUAGGCCGGGUGUGUAAGCGCAGCGAUGCGUUGAGCUAACCGGUACUAAUGAACCGUGAGGCUUAACCUU